rnacentral:rRNA from 1 species
GAUGAACGCUGGCGGCGUGCCUAAUACAUGCAAGUCGAGCGAACAGACGAGGAGCUUGCUCCUCUGACGUUAGCGGCGGACGGGUGAGUAACACGUGGAUAACCUACCUAUAAGACUGGGAUAACUUCGGGAAACCGGAGCUAAUACCGGAUAAUAUAUUGAACCGCAUGGUUCAAUAGUGAAAGACGGUUUUGCUGUCACUUAUAGAUGGAUCCGCGCCGCAUUAGCUAGUUGGUAAGGUAACGGCUUACCAAGGCAACGAUGCGUAGCCGACCGGAGAGGGGGUCAGGCACACAGGGAACUGAGAACGGGCCAAAACCCCUAGGGGGGGAAGCAGGGGGAAAUUUUCCGGAUGGGGGGAAAGCCUAAAGGAGCAACGCGGGGGAGGGGAGAAAGGGUUUCGGAUCGUAAAACCUUUUUUUUAGGAAAAAAAAAAUGUGUAAAAAACGAGGGCGUUCUGGACGGUACCAAAUAAAAAAACCCGGGCAAACUACGG